UUUAAAUGUAAAAUAAACAUACUAAAGUAGUAAUAGUUAUGUUCUUGAAAUUUAAAGAUUUUGGCGGUAUUUUAGUCUAUUUAGAGGAGCCUGUUCUAUAAUUGAUAAUCCACGAUUAAUCCUACUUAAUUUAUAUAAAUUUGUAUACCGUCGUUAUAAGAAGAUUUUAAAAGAAUAUAAAUUUUUAAUAUUUUAUAUAAAAAAAUAUAUCAGAUCAAGGUGCAGUUUAUAAUUAAGGAGAAAUGGGCUACAAUAAAUUUAUUUAUACGGAUUAAAAUUAGAAUUUAGUUUUAUGAAGGUGGAUUUAAUAGUAAUAAGAUUAAUUUAAAUCUUAUGAUUUUAGCUCUAAAAUAUG
rnacentral:rRNA from 1 species